UACAGAGGUCCCGAGCGUUGUUCGGAUUUAUUGGGCGUAAAGGGUGCGUAGGUGGCAAAGUAAGUUGGAUGUGAAUCCUGGGCUCAACCUCAGAAUUGCAUUCAAUACUGCUUAGCUAGAGAGCUGUAGAGGAGACUGGAAUUUACGGUGUAGCAGUGAAAUGCGUAGAUAUCGUAAGGAACGCCAGUGGCGAAAGCGAGUCUCUGGCAGCAUCUGACACUGAGGCACGAAGGCCAGGGAGCAAACGGG
rnacentral:rRNA from 1 species